AAAUGUCAUUAUUGAGAUAACCGGCUUUGGUGACAUCAACACGUUCCCUUUCCACUCCUCCACAACUGCCCUGCUUUUCUUCAUCAUCAUCCCCUUCUUACUCUCUCUCUCAACUGCACCUCAAUCUCACUCCCUUCUUACCCAACUUCUCCAGCGACUAAAUUUCUAAGCCUCAACUUCCGUCACAAUAUUCCCAAUCCUCAACAUCUUACUCUCAUCUCCUCCUCUACUCAUUCGUCUUCCCCUUCCGCUUCAAAUCUUUGAAACCCUCUUGGAACGACGCUUUCGCCUCCUCGGGUAUGUCCUAAAAUUCCUCCACUUUCCAUAUAAACAAGUAAAAAUAAUACUUAUCCUCUUUAUUUACAUGCAAACAAUGUUCCAGAUUUGUUCAAGUUUAUCUCUUUAUUUCCUUUCUCUCCACCAUUUUUUCCCUCACUUUGAUCU
rnacentral:lncRNA from 1 species